AAACUCAACGAUGAAGAGCUGGUCUCCUAUAUUUUAGCAGGCCUUGACUAUGAGUAUAACUCUAUUGUCUCGUCGAUUGCUGCAGGGUUGAGCCUAUCACCUUUGGCGAAAUGUACUCACAGCUUCUUGCCUUUGAGA
rnacentral:snoRNA from 1 species